rnacentral:rRNA from 1 species
AUGCAUUGGUUCUCAUGGUGGAAACUGUGUAUCCCGAGGAGUGAUGGCGGCAUGGGCUUCAGAGACCUCCAUUCAUUUAACCUAGCUCUAUUAGCAAAGCAAUGCUGGAGGAUGAUAAACAAUCCUGAUUCGGUAUAUGCUAGGAUUUUGAAGGCUAAAUAUUUCCCAAAUACUGAUUUGCUGAAUGCAGGACCAAAAAACGGCUCUUCUUUCACAUGGCAGAGUAUUGUAGCCGAGUUGACUCCUUUUAAGAGAGGGUAUAUAUAG